UACGUAGGGGGCAAGCGUUGUCCGGAUUUACUGGGCGUAAAGAGCGUGUAGGCGGCCAAGCAGGUCCGUUGUGAAAACUGGAGGCUUAACCUCCAGACGUCGACGGAAACCGCGUGGCUAGAGUCCGGAAGAGGAGAGUGGAAUUCCUGGUGUAGCGGUGAAAUGCGUAGAUAUCAAGAGGAACACCAGUGGCGAAGGCGAGUCCCUGGACAACACCUGACACUGAGGCACGAAAGCCGGGGGAGCAAACAGG
rnacentral:rRNA from 1 species